AUGGCCGACCCGUACGGCGACGGCCGGGCGCUGAGGAACCAUCAGCCGCCGGCGCAGCAGCAGCAGCAGCAGCGGCCCAGGCUGAAGCCGGCGCUGGAGAUGGAGGACCUCAUCAGCCUGCUCCACGGCUCCGAUCCCGUCCGCAUCGAGCUCACCCGCCUCGAGAACGACCUCCACUACAAGGAGAAGGAGCUCGGCGACGCGCAGGCGGAGAUCAAGGCCCUGCGCCUCUCCGAGCGGGCGCGCGAGAAGGCCGUCGAGGAUCUUACCGAAGAACUGGCAAAGGUGGAUGGGAAGCUCAAGCUCACAGAGUCUCUCCUGGAAAGCAAGAACCUUGAAGCCAAGAAGAUCAACGACGAGAAGAAAGCGGCGCUUGCUGCCCAGUUUGCAGCCGAGGCUACGCUGCGGAGGGUUCAUGCAGCGCACAAGGACGAUGACAUGCCCCCCAUCGAGGCCAUCCUUGCGCCGCUGGAGGCCGAGCUGAAACUAGCCCGUCAAGAGAUUGCAAAACUACAAGAUGACAACAGGGCAUUGGACCGUCUUACAAAAUCCAAGGAAGCUGCUCUGCUGGAAGCAGAGAGGACAGUUCAGAUAGCAUUAGCGAAAGCUUCCUUGGUGGAUGAUUUACAAAACAAAAACCAAGAAUUGAUGAAACAGAUCGAGAUAUGUCAGGAAGAGAACAAAAUCUUGGACAGAAUGCACCGCCAGAAGGUUGCUGAGGUCGAAAAGCUUACUCAGACUGUCAGAGAGCUAGAAGAAGCUGUUCUUGCUGGUGGUGCCGCCGCAAAUGCUGUGAGGGACUAUCAGCGGAAAGUUCAGGAGAUGAAUGAGGAAAUGAAAACUCUGGAUCGUGAGCUUGCUCGUGCAAAGGUUUCAGCAAAUAGGGUCGCGGUAGUGGUGGCAAAUGAGUGGAAAGAUGGCAAUGAUAAAGUAAUGCCUGUUAAGCAAUGGCUCGAAGAACGGAGGCUUCUCCAAGGAGAAAUGCAGCAACUCCGUGAUAAACUUGCUAUAGCAGAGAGGGCUGCAAGAUCAGAAGCUCAACUAAAGGACAAGUUCCAGCUACGGCUUAAAGUACUCGAGGAAGGAUUGAGAAUGUCAACAUCUCGAACCAAUGCAAGUGCUGCGCGCCGUCAGUCUAUUGGUGGUGCUGAGAGUGCAUCUAAGACCAAUGGCUUUCUAUCAAAGCGGCCAUCAUUCCAGAUGAGAACAUCGGUAUCUACUACCACGACUACUCUCGUGAACCAUGCAAAGGGGGCAUCCAAGUCUUUUGAUGGAGGGUGUAGAUCACUUGACCGUUAUAAGGGCCAUGUAAAUGGGGCUGGCAUGAACGUAUCUACCGACUCCAGCGAGGAUAAGGAGUCAAACAACUCAGACGAGAAGCCUAGUGAAUUUACAUCUGUUGAGUCGGAGGACACGGUGUCAGGUAUGCUGUAUGAUAUGCUGCAAAAGGAGGUCGUUGCUCUAAGGAAGGCUUGUCAUGAAAAGGACCAAAGCUUGAAAGACAAGGACGACGCAGUUGAGAUGUUGGCUAAGAAAGUCGACACUUUAACAAAGGCGAUGGAGUCAGAGGCUAAGAAGAUGAGACGGGAUGUAGCUGCCAUGGAAAAGGAGGUGGUGGCUAUGCGAUUAGAGAAAGAGCAGGAUACCAAGGCAAGAAGGUUCGGCAGUUCGAGUGCUUCUGCCAACAGUUCACAGAUGCCACCUGGAAGGACUCUGCCUCGGAGCGGUUCAGCACGCAACAUGUGA
rnacentral:rRNA from 1 species